UAAGUACUCCAUCCGUCCUAAAUUACUUGUUGCAGAAAUGAAAAAAAUGGAUGUAUCUAGAACUAAAAUACGUCUAGAUACAUCCAUUUCUUUGACAAGUAAUUCUGGAUGGGGGGUUUGGU
rnacentral:pre_miRNA from 1 species